UGAGAAAGACAGCACACUGAUUAAAACCCAGGGCAUAUUGGAGUCUCAUUAUCUUUGAGCUUGGGAUGGAUGGUGUCCACACCCCGAGUCCGUGUGUAAAGAAGGACUUCUGGAAGAAGAUGAGGGUAAACUGGAAAUCUGAGUGAAAUGAAUAAGCCAUCCUUGGAAGGCCUGAGAUUCUAGGAUCUAUCCUAAUAGCAGUUUGGAAAUACAGAAUAGUAAGUCAUUUGAAGAAAAAUAUUCUGACAAAGUCCAAUAGAGAGGAGAGCUGCUACCUGGGAAGGACUAAUCUCCAGCAUGCCAAAGAGAGACCACCGACUCCCACAGCCUCUAAAAGCUUGGAACCCCUGACUUUGAAUGAAUGAAGUCCUGAAACACCUAGAGGUACAAUAAUGUUGCCUUGUCAUUCUUAACCCCUUUCAGUUUUCUGUCAUUAGAAUUUAGCUUUUAUAAGAAGAAGUAGUUGGGAUUUAACUGCUGUCCAUAGCCAUCUGAUUUUUUCAUGGUAAUGUGCCUCACACCUGUCAAGAAGGACAGUACUUUAAAGUGUAUGGAUAGUUUAAAAUUGGC
rnacentral:lncRNA from 1 species